UGAAAUAAAUAAGGUCAUGGGGAAUUUCGGGAAGUCACUGAAGUGGAUUUCUUGGGUGAAGUCACUAGAAGUGAAAAAAUUAUCUGUCAUUUAUCUACCACAAGGAGCUCUAUCGAUGCAAAAUAAUGGAUAAGCACUUAAAGUCCCUUUCAAAAAAACAUAUUGAUACAAAGUUCAUCAUGCUUGCAGAGGUGAGGACUAAAAUCUUUUGCAAAACUGGCAAUCAAAACUUUGACUAGCCAAUAACCAUUCAUAACUUACUGCAGUGCCAGGUAUUGAUCUAAAUCAGGCAGCUCGAAAGGUUACAGAAGUUCAGAUUCUAUUUUUCGAGGUAUUGAUCAAAAUCAGGCUGUUCAAAAGGUCGCUGAGAGAAGAAUUCAAAUAUAGUCGCAUAUUCAAUAGGUUCUUGAACCCAUAUUCGUUUUUCAUAAUAAAUAAUAUGUUUCAUUUCAGAUCUGGUGCAAGAAGCUUUAGAUUCUGCUUUGUUAUGGUGCAUGUAAGUACCUUGGUUCAUUUAAAAUGGAUCUACUUUUAUGUGCUCCAGAUCAAGCCAGAACUAUUGCUGUUUGCUAUGCGGACUGGUAUGUUUGGAGUUAACUGUUAGCUAAGUUCAUGAAUAAGGAAUUAUGGCCAAUGUGAUUGAUGGAUUCAAUUUCGGUAUUGGAAAUAAUGAUAAGCUUGAAUUUGAUUUUACAGUAGAGUGAAAACGAAAAACUUAUGAAAAUUAAGUGGUCCAAUGUGUCUUAGAAGCAUACUGCUAGAGAGUGAUCAAUUCAUAGUAGUUGGUUCAAUUUGUUGAUCGAAGCAUGUAUAUGGCACGAAUUAUUUAUGCAUUUCAGUCAUCAAGUGCUUCAGAACAUGUGACUUCGACAGAAUAUGAUCAUGUACAUGGCAUCAAUUAUGGCCAUUGAGAAUAAUUGUGCCAGCUCACUACUGUAACUUAGAUAGUUAAUGCCACAUUAGCUUGGUAGUUGUAACAGCUUAAGAGCUUGCUAUCUUAAUGUGCAAGUUUGUAAGCCUUGGGAGUAAAAUUUGGUCCAACUAAGUGUAGGAUAAGUAGGCUAUAAAUUCUAUAUUAUGCUGUGAAUCUCCAGUUAAGAAAAUGAUUCAAACGAAUAUACAAAAUUUCAAAUUUACCUUCUCUUAUUUUCUCUCAACUGACAGAGCCAAUCAUAGGCAUAGAAAUAGAUUAUUCUUGGCCUAAUUUGGUCAUUUUUGUUGGCGCUUGCAUACGAGGUCGUUGCCACUAAUAUGUUUUCAUGAUAUUGAUGAUGAUUCUUAAUCUAUAUAUCUAUUUUUAGUGAAUCUAGUUGUUAAUGAUGCAAUAGGUGUCUAUCUAAUUUUCUGAACAUCUGACAUAUUUUUCCUAUAAGCUUAGCUAGAAGUAUUCGUAGAGUAUUUUUAUACUACAUGAAAAUAAUAUUUUUAUACUAGAUUAUUUGUAUCAGUAAUCAUAUUUCUAAAUGUGUUUGGACUUUUUCAACCCGGUGAAAGUUCCAAUAGUUCACCCUCACAAUUCUCAUGAUCAGUUAGUCAUAAACUUAUUAUGCUUCUUUAUAUCAAAAACCUCUAAAUCUUGGAGGCAAAAAUAUGAAUUGAGAUUAAUUAAGAAAUAUUAGAAUAUUGUUCAAUUGGUUCAUAUUUUGCAUUUGAUUGUUUUAAUCACGUCAUAUAUAUAAUAAAGCUUAAUGGUUGAGCUAUAUACUAGUUUGUUUUGUUAUAAUGUGUUUUUCACCUACAGAAAAAGUGUUAGCUAGUACUAAUAUGUUUUCUUAUAAUGUGUUCUUCUUUCUAAUGUAAUGUAAGGGAUAUAUAUUUCAUGAUCUAUAAGUUUAUUGGUUAAAGCUGGAAGUAUAUGUAAUAUUAUGUAUUUAGUAAGUUCAGUUGCAGGUUCAAAGACUGAACAAUUGAGUAUUCUGCAUGGUGAUGGUUUUUUUGGUCUCAGUAAUGCUACAACUGUAUUGUGCUUGUGUAAAACAAGUCUCAGGAAUGCUACAAGUGUAUGUGAUAUUUUGCUAGAAAAAAAUCGAUGUUGGUGAAGAUGUAACAGGUUCUCGUUUUACACAUGAUGAAACCGUAUCUUCGAGAGGAGACAACAUAGGACUGCUCGACAAGUUUCUAGCCAAACUGAAUAUCGGGGCAUUUGAACUUAAACUAUUAGAAGCAUAUCCAUGAUAUUGUAUAUGGACUGAAUUUACAAAAGAACCGUUGUUGAGUUUCAUUUCUAUUAUGGAGACUAAGCUCAUUUUCAUUUUUAAAUAUAGGAACACUCGGCGAAGAAUCAGGACAAGAUCGAGAUGACCCUAAGUUGAUGGCUAUGCUAAGUCUAAAGCUUAUAUUUCCCGAAUGAAACCGAGAAAGAAAACGACUAGAAGAGUUUGUUGGCUGAGUUGAAAAGCCGCGUGUCGAGAUGCUCACAGUUUUGGAUUCAGUGUGACUCUGCUCAUCAAGAUCAAUGUUAUAAGGCAUACAAGGUGGAAUGAAGGUUAAGCUGACAGAGAUGAGUCAUCUCCUUAUGCUGCUAUGCUUGCAGCACAGGAUGUUGCCACCAAAUGCAAGAUCGUUGACUCUGCCCGUUCCAUUUUAGAAGCAUUGACAAAUAUGCUUUGUUGAUGAAUCCACCAGCAAGGAGUUUAGAGGAAUUGAAGUCAGAUAGAAUUUCAAGUAUUUAUUAGUGUUUUAAUCUUCUUAGAACAACAUCUAUUGCAUCUACAAUUUGUGCGGCUACGGAGCUAAUGCAUCUCUUUUCUCAUCUUAUAUUACCAAUGGAGCUCUCUUUGAUAAGUUUGGUAGAAGAACAUUCUUUCUAUGAAGUUGCAAUAGAAAUUUUAU